rnacentral:rRNA from 1 species
UACGAAGGGUGCAAGCGUUAAUCGGAAUUACUGGGCGUAAAGCGUGCGUAGGCGGUUUUUUAAGUCUGCUGUGAAAGCCCUGGGCUCAACCUGGGAAUGGCGGUGGAUACUGAGAAGCUGGAGUACGGUAGAGGAAGGUGGAAUUCCCGGUGUAGCGGUGAAAUGCGUAGAGAUCAGGCGGAACACCCGUGGCGAAGGCGGCCAGCUGGGCCGUCCCUGACGCUGAGGCGCGAAGGCGUGGGGAGCGAACGGG